rnacentral:rRNA from 1 species
UACGUAGGGUGCGAGCGUUAAUCGGAAUUACUGGGCGUAAAGCGUGUGCAGGCGGUUUGUUAAGACAGGUGUGAAAUCCCCGGGCUUAACCUGGUAAUUGCGCUUGUUACUGGCAAGCUAGAGUGCGUCAGAGGGAGGUGGAAUUCCACGUGUAGCAGUGAAAUGCGUAGAGAUGUGGAGGAACACCGAUGGCGAAGGCAGCCUCCUGGGAUGACACUGACGCUCAUACACGAAAGCGUGGGGAGCAAACAGG